rnacentral:rRNA from 1 species
GGACUACCAGGGUAUCUAAUCCCGUUUGCUCCCCUGGCUUUCGCGCUGUCAGCGUCAGUGUCGGCCCAGCAACCCGUCUUCACCUCAGGUGUUCCUCUUGAUAUCUACGCAUUUCACCGCUACACCAAGAAUUCCGAUUGCCCCUUCCGCACUCUAGCAAAGCAGUAUCAUCUGACCGUUCCGGGUUAAGCCCGGAGAUUUCACAGAUGACUUGAAUUGCCGCCUACGCGCCCUUUACGCCCAGUAAAUCCGAACAACGCUUGGUCCCUACGUAUUACCGCGGCUGCUGGCAC